GGGCGUGCACAGCAAUGUGUUUGUACUAGACCUACUGGACUGAUGGACCUUUCAUUACGCAGAGGACCUGAAUGAGCUUUUUGUUAGAGUGACUCCGGUCCAGUGUAUUGUCCUAUUGUAUAAAUACUAUACACUGGAAACGAUGAAUCUAUAAUUCAUUAAAACAUCAAAUGAAGCAAGACUGUGACAGUAGGAGUUUACAUGUAGUGCCCCUGUUUAUUGCUAAUUGUGGCCUUUAAUAACAGGUGCUAUGUGUUUGCGCGUGCAAAUGAGCCACGCCCUCCCUCCCCUGGACAAAGUUAGUAGUUGAUCCGUGAGGAAGUGAAGAAGAUGCGCCUGAAUGGCGCUAUGUAGGCUAUCCGAGUGGAGACAGAGCACCAUGAGAGGACCGAGUUCACUGGAGAGACGAGACUCUUACAAACUAAAACAUAUUACACGGAGAGGACAACAGUCCUGAAACUCACCGGGAGAGAUAAAUAAAUGAAACGAAGAGAAUAAAGCA